rnacentral:rRNA from 1 species
UACGUAUGGGGCAAGCGUUAUCCGGAUUUACUGGGUGUAAAGGGAGCGUAGGCGGUACGGCAAGUCAGAAGUGAAAGCCUGGGGCUCAACCCCGGAAUUGCUUUUGAAACUGUCGAACUAGAGUGCCGGAGGGGUAAGCGGAAUUCCUAGUGUAGCGGUGAAAUGCGUAGAUAUUAGGAGGAACACCGGUGGCGAAGGCGGCUUACUGGACGACCACUGACGCUGAGGCUCGAAAGCGUGGGGAGCAAACAGG